rnacentral:rRNA from 1 species
AGUGAACGCUGGCGGUAGGCCUAACACAUGCAAGUCGAACGGCAGCACAGUAAGAGCUUGCUCUUACGGGUGGCGAGUGGCGGACGGGUGAGGAAUACAUCGGAAUCUACUUUUUCGUGGGGGAUAACGUAGGGAGACUUACGCUAAUACCGCAUACGACCUACGGGUGAAGGCAGGGGAUCUUCGGACCUUGCGCGAUUGAAUGAGCCGAUGUCGGAUUAGCUAGUUGGCGGGGUAAAGGCCCACCAAGGCGACGAUCCGUAGCUGGUCUGAGAGGAUGAUCAGCCACACUGGAACUGAGACACGGUCCAGACUCCUACGGGAGGCAGCAGUGGGGAAUAUUGGACAAUGGGCGCAAGCCUGAUCCAGCCAUACCGCGUGGGUGAAGAAGGCCUUCGGGUUGUAAAGCCCUUUUGUUGGGAAAGAAAAGCAGCAGGUUAAUACCCCGCUGUUCUGACGGUACCCAAAGAAUAAGCACCGGCUAACUUCGU